rnacentral:rRNA from 1 species
AUUGAACGCUGGCGGCAGGCCUAACACAUGCAAGUCGAGCGGGGUUUUCGGACCUAGCGGCGGACGGGUGAGUAAUGCGUAGGAAGCUGCCCGAUAGAGGGGGAUACCAGUUGGAAACGACUGUUAAUACCGCAUAAUGUCUACGGACCAAAGUGCGGGACCUUCGGGCCACAUGCUAUCGGAUGCGCCUACGUGGGAUUAGCUAGUUGGUGAGGUAAUGGCUCACCAAGGCGACGAUCCCUAGCUGGUUUGAGAGGAUGAUCAGCCACACUGGAACUGAGACACGGUCCAGACUCCUACGGGAGGCAGCAGUGGGGAAUAUUGGACAAUGGGCGCAAGCCUGAUCCAGCCAUGCCGCGUGUGUGAAGAAGGCCUUCGGGUUGUAAAGCACUUUCAGUAGGGAGGAAGCGUUGUGUGUUAAUAGUACACAGCGUUGACGUUACCUACAGAAGAAGCACCGGCUAACUCUGUGCCAGCCGCCGCCGUAAAAC